rnacentral:lncRNA from 1 species
GGCAAGGAAGGGAAAGAAUGACUAGGUUGAACCUCAUAGAGUUCCCAACAGUCAAUGUUGCCCGGUAACAUGAAUAACGUCUCUAACUGCACUCGAAAGUGAAACUUGACGCUAAAUAG